ensembl:lncRNA
UUUCUUGCUGGAGAUCCCUGCCUACUGUGAGCCUUCUGAAGGCUUCUGAGACCAUGGAGGAGUUGGGGAAAGAGGCUGUCCAGGCUCAGAGCAAGUGGCUUCUACACAGUUAGACCUUGCUGGAUUUCAACACUUUUGCUGUGUCACAUUUAAUAAGAACACGUAAAAUAUUAUGGGAACAGAGUGUGUAUACAGGCCAUGUCUUUGCUGUUGGCUGGCUCAGCAUGUUACUACAGAAGACUGGAAAGCAUGUGCUUGAAAACCCUGAUUUUAAUCCUGAUACAAAAUCGAAAGUGCUGGUUCUUCAAAUGCACAAUCUCCAUUAAAAAAAAAAAGUGCUCUUUGCUCCUUGUUGAUUCCUAUUGGUGUUCAAGGUUGCCAGGAAAAUCAAUGCUCAGCAAGAUGUUUUGUAUUGUGUGCCAGUAUAUACCAGAAGUUUAGGUGCAGUAUCAACUGAGACUGAAUAAAGAGUAAGGGUUUUAUCAAGAAGCAAAGAGAGGAGAUUCAAGUAUGGAUAUUGGGAAUACUCUUUGAAGCAAAUUGCAGAUCAGCAAAAGGGAGGUUUGACAAAUGCAUGAUGCCUGUGCCAGGACUGGUGUUAUGGUGGGAGAUGAGAAGAAUCCAAGUCUGCAUUUAUUUCUCGGAAGCAUUAGAUUGAGUGAAAAAUUUGGUCAGAUUUCUUUAAUUGUCGGAAACAACUCACCUUUGGAAAUUCUUUGAUUGUUUUUUUUGCAGCUAUUUGUCGUAACAUAGAAACUUUCCAGUGAAAAUGCUUGUAGUCAAGGAAUUGUGACUAAUUCAGCUUUUUCAGUGUAUUUCAUUUGAUAGUAGUCAUUAUCCAUUGGAGAGAAGAAUUCGCUGAAGUAGAUAAGCAAUCAUUUCUUCUUUUCAGUAGUUAUGGUCAGCUGAUAUAUAAUUUGAAACAAUAUAUAUAUGUAUUACAAAUAUUGAGAUAGCACGCAUAGUCUAAAAUUCAGUCAAUAGCACUCCUAUUUUUAAGGAUCAGAAUUUUAUCUCAACAAAAGUCCUUAAAAAAAAGACAAUUGUGUAUUUUUUUGCUUUUAUUUGUUUUUCACUUGUUUUACUUUUUUAAGCUCUGUCAUGCCUUUUCCUUAGUGCACUGGCAUUAAAUCUCACUCUCACGGUGGAUUAUGUAGAAAGUAAAGAUAUUCAAAAUAAAUGCACUUGUUAAGGGAAAAAUAAAAAUAUCAAAAUGAUGCUUUCUUUUUUCAAAGACAGUUUCAAACGCGUCUCAGCUAAUGAAUAAAACUGAAAAAGGAAAAG